UUCUGCCUUGCAGGUGUGUUCUGAGGCUGACUCCAGGAGCAUGUGUGUGGCUGAGCAUCACAGUGAUGGGCAGGGUGAGCCUGGAGCCACAGCCUCAGCUGCUGGGAGUGGUCUGUGGUACUGACCCUUCUCCUGGAAGGAGGGGGGGCAUGGAGCUGGAUAGGAGCCCCUGCCAUGGUGUGACUGUUUCCAUAAUUAUUGCUACUGUGCUCGUCUCUUCACACCCAUAGUAAUGACACUUUUGCUUUAGAGAGUUCCUGAUAGGGCUUAGUUUCACAGGCACCUUCCUGGAGGUCUAGUAGUAUAGAUGAACUCCCUGAUUGCAGGCUGCAUGUGGGGGAAAUAGCAGAGCCAUGUCUGGCUGCAGGCUGUCAGCACAACUCUUGGUGCAGAUUAAUGUGAGAUGCUGCAGAGCCAUGAGGAGGAUGUUAUUUUUUGCAAGAGGCUUGUGCUGAUUUUACUCAAUGCUUGUGUAUUGUGGUUGGAAACAACUAAGCUGCUGCUUUCUCUAUGGAGAGAGAAUGGUGCAUCUUCUGGAGAGGGAUUCCUUCAGUGUCCUCCAGCAAGUCAGAUUCUGCCCUGAUUUUAUUGGCUGCACUUCUGUGUGCCUGUGCUGCACUCUGUGCCCCUGACUGGUCUGUAUGCUGGUUUUUGGCUUUUACUUUUUCCCUGGCACCUAUAAUAAAGGUGCUCGUUUAAACCUGUCUGGCUUCAGUCUACCUACAUGGAACUGUCCAUGUUCUGCUGAGGAUUCUUCCUCAGCCAAAAAGCUGGCUUUGAUUUUUAGUUUUUCUCUGCAUGACCUUAACUUGAAACAAGGAAGGGCUGGUACUGCUGGGAAGGCAGAGCUCUUACUCUGCUGUGUGCCAUUGUUUUUGGGGGACAAGUUAGCUCCUUUGCAUGCACCACUGUAUAUCUUGGAUAGACCUGGCAAGAAGCUUCAGAAUGAUCUCAGCUCUUCUCUUUGUUUACAGACAAUGUAAUUCUAGCAGUUAAUCUGUCAGUUUUUCAGUCACCACAGUUUGCUGUUGGCUGGCAUAGCCCUGGUAAGUAGUGAGGUUAUCCCUGUUUCCUUCUGUCUCAUUCCCAAGCCUGGUGGUGCUGUGUGCAUGGGAUAUGGAGCUGAGUCUGUACAGAACAAAUGCACCCAACGUGCAUUCUUUCUAGCUGAAAACAUCCAGGAGAUCAAGGUGACUUAAAGUGCUGGGUUAGCAUGCCCUCAAGUGGUUCCAUUUUCAUCACAGAUGCAUGUUAUUGUUAUUACUUGUAUCUAGAUUGAUGUUAUCCUGUGCUAUUGUAUCUGGGCUGAGCUGUGUUCUUCACCAGCCUGAGGAUAAAUUUUUCUUUGCUCUUCUGUAACUUCCUAAUGUUACUUGGAAGAUGUUUGCAUCAGGCUCAUUUUCUUUCAUGCUUUCUAAUAUGAGGUUGAAGACGUGCUGGGUUGACCCUGACUUUUCCUCCUUGAUUUUCUACAGUGCGAGUCCCUGCUGGUGCUGGGGCUCUGAUUCAAAGCCUUCUUCCUCAUUGCUCAAGGCAAAAUGUUCAUUCUAAACUCUGUCCAAAAAUAUGGCAAGAAGAAGCAUUAAAGAGGAACUUGAAGCUAGCUCAGUCAUUGAGACAUAAAAUCACUUUUUGGUGUUGUGUGGUGCUCAGUUCCCGUUUCUUCGGGCAGUUCAUGUUCAAGCUGUACUCCUGGGGAGCCACACAGGUGGAGCAGAGCACUGGGCUCUGUCUGCAUCAGGAGAGGAGCAGGACUGUGUUUCAGAGCCCUUUCUCCUGUUACAGGUACAUGGUAACUCAAUGCUCAGCAGGUUCAGCUCUGUCUGUUCUGGGCAUGCCUCUGGUUUCCUAGCUGUCUUCUUUUCAAAGAGAAUAAUUUGGAGUGAGUAACAAAGGCUGAAACACAACCAGGGAGAAGUGCUCACCUGACCUGAGUGUGCUGUGGGCUCCCACCUCUCCUGGAUGCAGCUACCUGUGAGCUGAGCCCCCACCGCAGUGCUGCUGGUGCUGCCUGCUGCCGGACAGGUCCUUGUGUUCUUCUGAUCUGGAAUUGCUGCAGCAAUUCUACACUUCCAUAAAGAUCAGGCUGCUAAAAUUUGAAAUAUGCUCUCUGUAACACCUGGGCAGGAGGAAUUCCAUAGGAAUUCCUGCCUAUUGUGACCUGGGCUGAAUAGCAAGUCUGUAAGCAAACUUACUAAUGUCAGAAUUAUUCCUAUAGCUUAAUCAGGAUGACUCACGAUUGCUCGCGGGGCUUUGUCACGCUCGGCAGGAGCAGUUUCACUAUGAGCCCCAGCUGCCUCGAGCAGCAGCCAACCCAGGGCUUUGGUUCCCCUGGUUGUGUAAGCACUGCUGAGUGCCAUCACUCCACAUCAGGAGGGGCACAUUGCUGUUUCUCAGCACUACACGCAGCACUGGGGGCUCUACCAGCCUGCUGUUGGGGCUCAGCUCUCUGUCCCUGCUGCUGCUUGCACCAGGCACUGGUGUUCUCCUUUACCGCUUUUGCCUUCCUUGCUGUGGCUGCUGGUGACAGGAACCUCCUCCUCAAUGGUUCCGGAGCACUUCUGCUGGUUUGGAAGCUGUUACAGUGACCAGCUUUGUGGCUUGUGCUCUUCAUUCAUUUUGUGCAGCUAGCUAUGUCGUAUAGGUUUUGUGGCAGCGAAUGAAGAAGCGGAUAUAUGAUGCAAAGCGAGAUUAAUUCCAGCAGUUUUUAGGGAUUUAUCCUUCCACUAUUUGGUGGUUCUUUUGGUGUUUUUGUUGUUUACUUGCUGAGUAGUUACAGCAAUGACGUGCUUCGGCUAAUUCUAUACAACAAAUAGCACAACCAUCCAGAAAUUAGCCUAAUUACUUAGCAGUUCUAUUUAGGAGUAUAUUGCAUGUGAGGAGCUUUUGGAUGCCAUCAGCAUUACUUCCUGGCACCCAGGGCCCACACAGGGCUGCACUGCGGCCGGAGCAGCUUCAUCCCCAGCAGCUCUGCCCUGGAAUUUGAGGUCACUGCUUUCCGUGAUCCUGCAUUUUCUUUUCUGGCUCUAUAAAAAGCUUCAGCCAGUUUGUGGUUCCUGAACUUGGUGGUGUAGCACGCUGCUUGUUAAGGCUUCUGAAGGCAAAAUCCUAAAAACCUGAGAGUCAGCAAACAUCCAUUUUUACCGUUAGGAUGUGGAAAUGGGGGAGCUCUGGCUUGCAGGGAAUUGCUGAUAUUCGUGGCUUUCUGUGGCUGCCCAAAGGAUGGAACACCGCUGCACACCGGGGCUGUUCCCACUUCUAGCAUUCAUGCAGCAGGCAGCUGUUGUGCUUCUGUUUGCGUUCAGGCUGCAGGAGUGCUUUUUGCACACAGAUGCUGGCGGGGUGGUGGCUGUGUGGCUGUGUCCGUCAGCCUGGUGUGGAGCUGUGGUGCUCUGUGUGUGGUGGCAGCAGCUCUCCAGCAGUACACUGCUCCAUGUGGGGGUUGUAUGGAGGGGAUCUGUCCCUUACAGUGUGAUCCAGGGGAUGGGGAGCCCGUGAGGUCUGAGUGUCACUCACUGUCACUGCAUUCCUUGGGGCUCCCAACCAAACACUCCUGGUUGCUGGGCUGCUGCUGAAUUAGAGCUGCACUGAGCAAUUAUGCAUUGUUGUUUACCAUCUGACUGUUCGAGCACUGAAGUUUACACUUCUUCAGCCCUUUUCCUUCAUUUUGCAAAUGGAUCUGGGCUAUUGUGUAGUUUUCCUAAGGAACCAAGGCUGCUGUAGUACAGGGAGCUGCACUCUGCCAUGCAUCCAGCCCUUGAGAUGUGCUGCUGAGGCACAGGGAUACAGAGCAGGCGGGCAGAAAUGCUGCUAUUGAUUUUCCCCUUUAUAAGUUACUUUGGCUGUAGAAGUAAAGCUGUCUAUUUGCUACAGCUGUUACGGGAACAUAACUGCUGCUGAUUUCCUAUCGAAACCUGUUACAAACUGGAAGAAAGAGAAGUUAAAAAAAAUAAAUCCCAGA
rnacentral:lncRNA from 1 species